AACGUAGGUGGCAAGCGUUAUCCGGAUUUACUGGGCGUAAAGCAUGUGCAGACGGGUUGGUAAGUGGUGUAUGAAAGCGUUCGGCUUAACCGAGCAAGCGUAUGCCAGACUGCCAGUCUUGAGUUCGGGAGAGGGAUGCGGAAUUCCGGGUGUAGCGGUGGAAUGCGUAGAGAUCCGGAAGAACACCGGUGGCGAAGGCGGCCUGCUGGGCAGUGAGCUGACACUGAGGCGCGGACAGCGUGGGGAGCAAACAGG
rnacentral:rRNA from 1 species